UACGUAGGUGGCAAGCGUUGUCAGGAUUUACUGGGCGUAAAGAGCGCGCAGGCGGUCGUUCAAGUCGCGUGUGAAAGCCCCCGGCUCAACUGGGGAGGGUCACGCGAUACUGAUCGACUCGAAGGCAGGAGAGGGUAGUGGAAUUCCCGGUGUAGUGGUGAAAUGCGUAGAUAUCGGGAGGAACACCAGUGGCGAAGGCGACUACCUGGCCUGUUUCUUGACGCUGAGGCGCGAAAGCUAGGGGAGCAAACGGG
rnacentral:rRNA from 1 species